AUUGAACGCUGGCGGCAGGCCUAACACAUGCAAGUCGAACGGUAACAGGAAGCAGCUUGCUGCUUUGCUGACGAGUGGCGGACGGGUGAGUAAUGUCUGGGAAACUGCCUGAUGGAGGGGGAUAACUACUGGAAAUGGUAGCUAAUACCGCAUAACGUCGCAAGACCAAAGAGGGGGACCUUCGGGCCUCUUGCCAUCGGAUGUGCCCAGAUGGGAUUAGCUAGUAGGUGGGGUAACGGCUCACCUAGGCGACGAUCCCUAGCUGGUCUGAGAGGAUGACCAGCCACACUGGAACUGAGACACGGUCCAGACUCCUACGGGAGGCAGCAGUGGGGAAUAUUGCACAAUGGGCGCAAGCCUGAUGCAGCCAUGCCGCGUGUAUGAAGAAGGCCUUCGGGUUGUAAAGCACUUUCAGCGGGGAGGAAGGGAGUAAAGUUAAUACCUUUGCUCAUUGACGUUACCCGCAGAAGAAGCACCGGCUAACUCCGUG
rnacentral:rRNA from 1 species